UUCCUUCGUGCAGUCGGAGUCAACACGACAAUGACAGAUAAUGAUGGCUGAUGGACUUUGUAAAGAUAAUCCUUCCAGGAGGGUGCGGAUGAAACCGCAGAAUGAUGCAGAAAAACACAUAAGACUGAAAGCUGACAAGGCGGGUCUUAGACAGGUGUAUGUGAACUCUUACAAAGGGCGAGGCAUCUUUGCUUCAAAACCUUUCAGCAAAGGAGAUUUUGUGCUAGAGUACAGAGGGAAACUACAUUCUCC